AGUCAAUAGAUACCCUGGUAGUCCCAGCCGUAAACGAUGUGCGUUAGGUGUAUCGGUGACCACGAGUCACCGAGAUGCCGAAGAGAAAUCGUGAAACGUACCGCCUGGGAAGUACGGUCGCAAGGCUGAAACUUAAAGGAAUUGGCGGGGGAGCACCACAACAGGUGGAGCCUGCGGUUUAAUCGGACUCAACGCCGGGAAACUCACCAGAUAAGACAGCUGAAUGAUAGUCGGGCUGAAGACUCUACUUGACUAGCUGAGAGGAGGUGCAUGGCCGUCGUCAGUUCGUACUGUGAAGCAUCCUGUUAAGUCAGGCAACGAGCGAGACCCACGCCAACAGUUGCCAGCUCGUCCUCCGGGAUGGAGGGGACACUGUUGGGACCGCCUCUGCUAAAGAGGAGGAAGGAAUGGGCAACGGUAGGUCAGCAUGCCCCGAAUUAUCUGGGCUACACGCGGGCUACAAUGGGUGGGACAAUGGGUAUCGACACCGAAAGGUGAAGGCAAUCUCCUAAACCCAUCCUUAGUUCGGAUUGU
rnacentral:rRNA from 1 species